CAAAACCCAAAACCUAAAACUCCACUCCCGAUUCCAACUAUUUUUCCUCUGACGAGCGGCGAUUCCAACUUCCUGCGAGCGGUGAGCGGCGAACGUAGAGCACCUCUAGUCCAGUCCGUCAAGGUCGAGACUUCCAUCCGGCGAGCGACAUCGACUUGUGGCUACACCUCCAGUUCAGUCCGGCAAGGUUAGGCUUCCAUCCGGCGAAUGUUGACUACCAUCUUUGAAAUUAUUUCAAACUCAGGUUAGACUCCACAACCCAUCUUUGUCAUUGUUUAAUCAAUAUCGAUUUAGGUUUUUCAUUUCACUGUUUUUACAUUUCAAAUUUCUUUGGGUUUUUCAUUUUCCUAAAUUAAAAUCUCACUUAUUUUCCCAAAUACAUGUUGUAAUUGAGGGAGGCUUUAAUAGAGAUUUCUUUCGGCAAAUUUUCCCCAAAUACAUGUCUGCCAUAUUUUCCUCAAAUAUAGAGAUUGAUUAUAAAAAAAAAAAGACAGCCAAAUUCCAGUGGGAAUGGUUGAUUACUUCAUUGAUUGAACAGCUGGAUGAUUUAGGGCGUGAGUUUUGAGGAAGAUUUUGUAAAUUCAAUGAUUGAUUUUUUAAUAAAAUUCUUACAGACAAAUGUCUUUAUGAAAUUUAAAUAAAAAGCAGGGACUAUUAAUUAAUUAUCCCAAGUCAUGGUCUGGUUCAACCAACUUAAUCAGACCCAAUUUCAAAGUCACUCAUCCAAACGGGCUUCCGACGGAUCCGGCUCGGUUUGGGAGAGUUAGGACCCGGUUCGAUGUUCCCCAACGGCUCUGAGUCGUUGCCGCUGCCCUCUUCUUCAACGUCGCCUGAAGCCUCAUCUCCGGCGCUCCCCACACUGUCUUCUCCAACCGCGUCGUCUUCCUCUUCUUCAGAGUCGUCUCCGACUAUAGCGGCGAUAUCUUCCCUAACGGCUUCAUAAUCCAGUGGUAUCGCAUCACUAUGCUUUACAAAAGGGAAUUGUAAGUCUUUAACAUCGCUACAUCAAACCAUUAGUGAUUUCUCAAACUUUACAGGACUUUAGGUCAAUAAAUCGAAAAGUAGCAUCUACUUAUCUAAGGUAUGUGAAAAUGAUGAGGAAUUAAUCAACAUCCUUGGCUUUCCACGCAAGGCCCUUCCAGCGAAACAUCUAGGUGUACCCCUAAUUGGCAAAAAAAUUUGUCUCACGAACUAUCAUCCCUUUAUAGAACAACUUAAUAUUUUCCUGUCAUCAUGGUCCACCACAACAUUAUCGUAUGGGGGAUGGAUUCAAUUAGCAAAUUGGGUUAUCUACGAAAGAGUAAUCUUCUGGUCAGGGAAUUCACCUACUGCAGGGUACAAUUAAAAAGAUUUGCAACAUUAUAUAUACUGAUUUAUUUGGAAAGAGAUGAAGGGCGUCACAUGAAAAGUAAUGGCUCGACCAAGGGAGGAGGGAGGGAUUGGUAUUAGGGAUCCAAAACUAUUGAACAUCGCAAAUGGCCUAAAGUAAAUUAUUAGAGCAUGAACAACAUCGGAUUCCAUUUAGGAGAUGAAUGGAUCAGCUUGAGGUAUAUUAGAAAUAAACCACUCCUACAAAUUCAGAAAUCAGGUGCUGACUCCUACGUUUGUAGAGCAAUGCUAGACUUCUGGAGAUCAUAUCGACACAACAAUGGAAUGCGGUAUGAAUUAAAUUUUAUAUCGUGGCUAAAUUCAGGAAAUCCGACACUCGUCUCAUUUUACUACAAACUAAGAAUAAAGGGACCAGUGGAUAAGUUCGUUGAGAGGAUUUUGUGCUCACAAUGCUCCAAGUGGUCAACUACACUGUGGAGAGCACACUGGGCGAGCCUGAACACCUGAUCACGCUUGCUGGAUUGGGGAAUGCUCUACCCUUCGGACUAAGGAAAGCUGUUCCCUAUAGACUGUGCUCUAGAAACGACAUGGCACAUGUUUUUCCAAUGCUCUUUUUCCUGAUCAGUAUGGGAUGAGUUCAGUAAAGCUAUCGGGCACUUCCGUGACGGGAAGUUGGGUGUAACAGGUGGGAAAUCAUUGUUCAUGGGUGGAAUUAUGGAGGCGAAUAAAGCAUUGAUCAAAGGCUCGACCUGUUGGGGAAUGCACUGGUCCGCAAUGGCAAUAGUUGUAUGGUACGUUUGGGCCGAGCGUAAUAGACGGUGUAUGGAGGACAAGGCGAAACAUUGGAAGUAGUCAUUGAUAGAGACUUACUGGAAGGACAUUCUGGAGAACACUUGCUAACACAUCGGAGCUCUAACUGACAAGACAGCCAUUGCAACUGAGGUGGAACUAUCUAGAAACGACGCCAACGGCUAACCAACUUCUAAUCUGAAAAGGGGGCAAACCACCAAGAGGGUCCGCUACCCGAAUACUCGAUAACAGGACUAUGUGACCUAAUUGCUUCUAAUCAAAGGGGUUGCUGAGGAACGGACUAUUCUACCAGCGCUCGUGAUGGUGGACGGCUAUAUAUCUUCUUGUGCCAAAGGCUUUGAAAUCCACGACGCUCGCUCUACGUCAAGUCUUCAAGGGAGGAAAUCGACGAUUGCUCCUUGAUUUACGCUCUAGAAAGGAUGGAACUGAUGCCAUUGGAUCCGAGAGCCUCUGGCACGAGAAGAUGACCGCUCCUCAUCAAAUGGCAACGACGCUCGCGAUUCAUUUCUUUAACAACGAGGAGUAAUUACUAUAGAAACUCACUACGGUAAAUUAGCCACACAUAUUGUUCAUGCCCUAAACUUCAGGGGUUUGCCCGAUUUACAUAUUUAAUAUAUUUGCCUUUAACCUUAAAAAAAAGAACAAACAAGGCAGAGACACCCACAAACCCACAAUUCAAUCAUCUCAUUCUUGUAACCCAAGAAACUGGGGAAAGCUUGGGUAUUUUGGUUCCCAUCCAAUUUCGGCACGAGUCUUUGAGUUAUUUAACCUCUUUCCCAAAGGACCACUAGUCCCUGCAUAAUUAAUUGAAUGAGGAAACCAAUCAAUCAAAUCUCACCAUCGAAUGAAUUCAUGGAAAACAUAUAUGUGUUUGAUAUAAGAAUACACUGAAAAUCCAGGGUAAAAACAACAAUUUUACCAAGAAAUAUAAACUAAGGACUUAAGUGAAAUAAAACAAUUAUAAAGGUUAUGGUAUAACUAAAUAAACUAUCAGUUAUCAACCGACAGGGGGUUGUUUAUAAAAGUUUCAAUAAAAACGUUACCAGGACCUAAAUGUAAUAAACAAGAGUUUUUAAUAUAAAGACUAACUUGAGUUCAAGUAUUACUAUGCAGGUAAUUAACCCAAGACUCGUGACAAAAGAAUUAGAAGUAGAAGGGCCAGAGUGAAAUAUUUUAAAUAUUUCUUAACGGACCAAUUUUAAGUUAAAUUAGUUAGUUACGAGAUUAGUUAAAAACUUUGUAUUAAAUAACACUGUAAUUAAACACACUCAUUACUUCAAUACAAAGAGUUAAUUCUGGUUAACUCAGAUUAACUAAAAUAAUUCUUUUCAACCAAUCUUCUUCUUUCUCCUUAGUGACCGUUUUUUCGGGUAAAAGCCCUUUCUCCAGUGGGCGAUAAACCCUAGCCAGCAAUCUGGCCACCCCGCAGCAUUUCGAUCGCCCCCGGCUUGAGGAAGUCACUGCAUUGUCAGCAACGCCUCCUCCACCACCUGAAGUUAACAUGGUAUCUGCCGCUAACGCUCCAGGCGUCCCUCCGGUCAACCGUCCGGCCGCUUCCGCAUUAAUACCUCCGGCUAAUCUCAGAGAAGAGUCUGUGGCACAACUGGCACUCAACAACCCACUACAAACUCCAUAAAAUUCGCGAAAAUCUUCAUCUGAGUCUACUGGUAAAUCGAGAGCAAAGGAUCAUGAAGAGGAUUUCUAUCAAGGAUCUUUUUUCAAAAAACAAAGAUCCGACAGGUAUAUCUCUCCAUUACAAGAUCCAGAGUCUCCUUUUUUCUUGACCUCUGGUGAUCAUCCGGGGGCAAUUCUAGUCCCUGAUAGAUUAGUUGGUGAGACCAACUACAUUACUUGGGCCAAUGGGAUGAAGGUCUCAUUGGUGUCAAGAAGGAAAGAUGCCUUCAUCUCUGGACAAAUUUUGAUGCCCACUGAUUGCAACAGUAGAGAAUACAAUAUAUGGAAAAUAGUUAAUGGUUUAGUAUUGGCAUGGAUCUUAAAUUCAGUAUCCCCACAAAUACAGUCAACUAUUAUGUUUUCAAAUAAUGCAAGUCAAAUUUGGGUAGAUCUAGAGAAUAGGUAUAAACAAGGGAAUGCCCCCAAGAUAAAUCAAAUCAAGUAUGAGUUAUGUUGUCUACAACAAGGUUCUAUGAAUGCUUCUGACUUCUGUGAUAAGUUUAGGUCCAUUUGGGACCAAUUGGUACAAAUAGAUGAGAUUAAAGAGAAAUUUUGCAUAGGAUGUAGGAAACUCUAUCAACAAAAAGAGGAAAAUGAUAUGAUACUUCAAUUCCUCGUAGGACUAAAUGAAAUUUUUUUUAAUCUUAGAACUCAAAUACUAUCACUAGACAAGCUACCAAAUAUGAAUAAAUUGCUUGGAUUAGUACUGCAAGAAGAGAAACAGAGGUAUAAGUUCAGAGAUAACACCAAUAAAAAAAAUGAAUCAGUUUUCUAUGCAAAAGAAGAAAAAAACUCAACAGAAAGUACAAAAGUCAUGUUUUCUAAAAAUGGAAAGAAGCUUAACACUAGGUAUUACUGUGAUAACUGUAAAUACUAUUGUCAUACAAGAGAAAAAUGUUAUCACCUAGUAGGAAAACCUAAAAAAAAAAUCAAAAGAGGUUUCAAGGAAAAAAGAAUCAAGCCAACAACAUAACAACCACAGAGGCUGCAAAUCAAGCAACCACCUCCAAUAGUCAGCAACAAUUAGCACUGACCCAAGAAGAGAUUCAGUUGUUCAAGGAUUUCAUCUCCUCUACCAAGUCUAACUCUGGUAAGAUUUUUAAUUUUUCUUUCAAUAUAAAUAAAAUUUCUGAAAAAAUAAAUGAUUAUAUUGAUAGAUGGAUAGUAGAUACUGGUGCAUCUCAACACAUGACUGAUAAUCUACAUUUAUUUAUAAAUCCACCAGUAAAAGAGUAUAAUCAUUAUGUAACCAUACUUAGUGGAAAAAAAUUAGUAGUCAAAAGAAUAGGUUGUAUAAAAAUUUCAGAAAACUUAGUUUUAAAAAAUGUGUUGUUUAUUCCUGAAUUUGAAGUUAAUCUAAUAGCCAUUAGCAAGUUAACUUUAGACAAUGACAUUAAAGUAAUAUUCAAUGAUCAUUGUUUUCAAUUUCAGGAAAACAAAUCCGAGAAAGUGAUUGGCAAGGGUGAGUCUCAUGAUGGACUAUAUUUCUUCACCCCCCACUACUUUCUAGCAAACCUAGCUAUUGAUUUCAAAACUUGACAUCAAAGGCUAGGACACAUCUCCUCAGAGAAAAUGAAGACAUUAGUCUCCAAAUACAACAUUAAAUGUAAAAAUAUUAGUAGUAGUUGUAAAAGUUCAGAUUGUAAUAAAUUUUUUUCAGAUUGUGAUAAUGAUGAGUUUUUUACUAAAAAAUCUGUUUUGAAUAAAAUCAACUCUGUUCAAUACAAUUGCAUGAUAUGUCCAUUAGCAAAACAAACCAAAUUAAAAUUCCCAAUUAGUUCUUCCAAAUCUAAAAAAUUGUUUGAUCUAAUCCACAUAGACAUAUGGGGCAAAUUUCCAAUUAUGACCCAUGAUGGUUUCAAUUAUUUUUUAACCAUUGUAGAAGAUCUAAGUAGAGGUACAUGGAUAUACUUAAUCAAGAACAAAUCAAUGGCAAUAGAAUGUAUUGAUAAUUUUUAUAGAAUGGUUAAAACACAAUUUCAAACUAAAAUUAAAACCAUUAGAAGUGACAAUGGAGGAGAAUUCACUUCUAAUAGUUUUAAAAAGAUGACUGAAAAACAUGGGAUAGUUCAACACUUCUCAUGUCCUUAUACCCCUGCACAAAAUGCAAGGGUAGAAAGAAAGCAUAGACAUCUCUUGAACAUAGCAAGAGCAUUACACCUUCAAGGAAAUAUUCCAUUAGAAUAUUGGGGGGAGUGCAUCCUAACUGCAGCCCACCUAAUUAAUAGAAUUCCUUCCAAAAUCAUAGGAAACAAAACACCUUAUGAAAUAGUUCAUAAGAAAAUACCCAAUUUUGAAAGUUUAAAAACAUUUGGUUGUUUGUGCUAUGCAUCAACAACUCAAAUAGAAAACAAAUUUUCUCCCAAAACCUUUCAAGGAGUCUUUAUGGGCUACCCAAAAGGGGUUAAAGGAUACUCCAUAUUAAGGCUUUCAGACAAGAAAUUCACCAUUUCCAGAGAUGUAUCUUUUAGGGAAUCAAUAUUCCCAUUCAAAGAUAAUAUAAAUUCAGAAAACACAAAAAAAUUAAAAUCUUUUGAAAUUUUUUAUGAUAAUGUGUUUUUAUAUCAUGAUGAUUCGAAUAAAGCCUGGUAUGAUUAUAAAAAUUAUGAUCAAAGAAUCAAAACAAAAAAAUCUAAUCUAAACAACAAAACAAGAUCAGAAAAUCAAAAUCAAAAUCUGAAAAAAAUUCAGAUUCAAGGUCAAGAAAAUGACCAAAUAAAUCCCGAGUAUAUUGGAAUAAACAAUAACUCACAAAACCAAAUGAUCAAUCAAAUGGAAAAUAAAAGUGAGAAUAGAAACUAUGAUGUUGAAUCAAAUCAAAGCCAUAGAGAGAGAGGCUCUAUUAAUAGUUUUGGAAAUUUUCAAAACAAUUGUAAUUCUGAAAAUGUUCAGAAUAGAUGUAAUUCUGAGAAUAUUCAGAAUACAUAUAAUUCUGAAAAUAUGCAGAAUGCAUGUAAUUCUGAAAAUUCUCAGAAUAGAUGCAAUUCUGAGAACAUUCAGAAUACAUGUAAUUCUGAAAAUAUUCAGAACACUAACAAUUCUGAAUAUAUUCAGAAUAAUGAUGAAACAAAUUCAUCAAAUAUAGAGCCAACAACACAAAAAUAAAAUAUCAUCUCUGAAAUUUCAGAAGAUGAAAUUGAACAGCCUCAGGCUGCCCCCUGCACAAAUCCAAAAAGACAAAUUGAAAUACCUGGAAAAAAAACCACAAGGGCAGGUAGGGUAAUCCAUAUACCACAAGCAUACAAGGAUUUUUUCCUUGAAAAUGAUAAGGAAUAUGGAACUAACAAUCAAAAAGGGAAAUACCCAUUGUGCAAUCAGGUAUCAUAUCAUAGAAUCAAUAAAACUAACAAGAAACUAUUUCAUCAAAUAUCAGUACAUGAUGAACCUCAAUCUUAUUCAGAAGCCUCUAAAAACCCAAAAUGGGUAGAGGCAAUGGAAAAAGAAAUGGAGGCACUUCAUAUGAAUAACACUUGGACAUUAACCACUCUUCCUCAUGAUAGGAAAGUUGUGGGUUCUAAGUGGAUUUAUAAAAUCAAAUAUAUACCAAAUGGUGAAAUAGAAAAAUACAAGGCUAGACUUGUAGCAAAAGGAUUCACUCAAAAAGAAGGUUUCGAUUAUUAUGAAACCUUUGCACCUGUGGUCAAAAUGACCACAAUUAAAACAAUAAUUGCAAUUUCAGCAAUUAAGAAAUGGAACAUCUAUCAAUUAGAUGUAAAUAAUGCCUUCUUUCAUGGGGAUCUUCAUGAAGAAGUAUACCUCAAACCACCACAAGGACUCCUUAAUGAAGGAGAUAAAAGAGUAUGCAAGUUAAAUAAAUCCCUUUAUGGGCUAAAACAGGCAUCUAGAAACUGGUUUGCAAAAUUAAAGGGAGUUUUAAUUGAGUUAAAUUUUACUCAAACUUCCUCAGACUAUUCAUUGUUUGUUAAAAACAACAAUGGUAAUAUAAUAUACUUAUUGGUAUAUGUAGAUGACAUCAUAAUUACAGGAAACAAUGAAACAGAGAUGUUUCUAAUCAAAAGGAAUAUUGAGAAAAACUUUAAAAUCAAAGAUUUAGAAAAAUUAUCCUAUUUUUUAGGGAUUGAAGUAUCAUAUCCACCAGAAAGUAUAUACAUAUCCCAAAGAAAGUAUGCAUUGAGCAUAUUGGAAGAGAGUGGUCUUAUAGAUGCAAAGCCAUCAAAAGUACCUAUGGAAAGGUACAUACAUAUGAGAAAUGAGCAAGCAAAGCCCAUAACAAACCCAACUCUCUAUAGGUCACUAGUGGGUAAACUUAUAUACCUAAAUAUAACUAGACCUGAUCUAAGUUUCCCAGUACAUUGGCUAAGCCAGUUUAUGAGAAACCCUAAUGAAAUACAUCUUCAAGUCUUAUUCAAAGUGAUAAAAUAUCUUAAAAAUGCCCCUGGACAGGGCAUACUAUAUAAAAAUCAAAACCAAAUGAAUCUUCAUGGCUAUUGUGAUUCAGAUUGGGGUUCCUGCUCAAUCAGCAGGAAAUCACUUUCAGGCUACUGCAUGUUCUUAGGAACAUCCUUAAUUUCUUGGAAAUCCAAGAAACAGGGUACUGUUUCACUUUCCUCAUGUGAAGCUAAAUACAGAGCCAUUAGUAAAGCACAAUGUGAAAUACUAUAUGGCUACAUCAACUCUUUAAAGAUCUUAAAAUCAAAAUACAAAAACCAACAUCCUUAUACUGUGACAACAAAUCAGCAAUUUAUCUUGCUAAUAAUCCAGUAUUCCAUGAAAGGAGUAAACAUAUAGAAAUAUCAUGUCAUUCUAUAAGGGAGAUGAUAGAUAAAGGAAUAAUUAUACUAAAACAAGUAGGUAAAAAUACCAACUUGCUGAUAUAUUCACCAAAUCCCUAGGAGAAAAUGAAAUUUCAGCAUUCUCCAUCAAGCUUGGUAUUCAUAACAUGUAUUCCAAGGCUUGAGGGGGGAGUAUAAGAAUACACUGAAAAUCCAGGGUAAAAACAACAAUUUUACUAAGAAAUAUAAACUAAGGACUUAAGUGAAAUAAAACAAUUAUAAAGGUUAUGGUAUAACUAAAUAAACUAUCAGUUAUCAACCGACAGGGGGUUGUUUAUAAAAGUUUCAAUAAAAACGUUACCAGGACCUAAAUAUAAUAAACAAGAGUUUUUAAUAUAAAGACUAACUUGAGUUCAAGUAUUACUAUGCAGGUAAUUAACCCAAGACUCGUGACAAAAGAAUUAAAGAAGUAGAAGGACCAGAGUGAAAUAUUUUAAAUAUUUCUUAACGGACCAAUUUUAAGUUAAAUUAGUUAGUUACGAGAUUAGUUAAAAACUUUGUAUUAAAUAACACUGUAAUUAAACACACUCAUUACUUCAAUACAAAGAGUUAAUUCUGGUUAACUCAGAUUAACUAAAAUAAUUCUUUUCAACCAAUCUUCUUCUUUCUCCUUAGUGACCGUUUUUUCGGGUAAAAGCCCUUUCUCCAGUGGGCGAUAAACCCUAGCCAGCAAUCUGGCCACCCCGC
rnacentral:lncRNA from 1 species